UCUAUUUCAAUAUCGCUAAUAUUUUCACUCAUUAUCUCUUCUCUUUUUUUUGCUGAUUUUUAAUAUUAAAAUUAUUGUAUUUUUGGGUGUUGAUUGAAAUACACACUGAUAAUCUUAAUAUCAUUGAUAAAUAUCAUUUUUUCUUAACAGAAUGAUUACUCAGAUAUCUGCUGUUGAUGUUUAUAUCACAACUUUCAAAUUAUUUUAAUCUUUCAUCAUCAAUUCUUAUAUAUAUCUUUGAUAAUAGAUUGAUGUAUAUACUGACUGACAGCAUCAAUAAUUGAAGAUCAAACAACACUUUUGUAAUUGUCAUUAUCUGUCUUCAAACUCUGGUUUUUGACAUCAAUGAAGAUAUUGAGUAUGAUCAGCUUCAUAUCAGAGAUUCAAUCAGUUUGAAUUUGAAAGUUUUGCUGAGCUUACUAAGUAUAGAAUGAGGAGACUUGCUGUGUAGCUUGAAUAGCUAGCAUUGAAGAUUCAGAGUGCUGACUCUUUCUUAUCAAGGAUUUAUCAAGAUAUUG
rnacentral:sRNA from 1 species